rnacentral:tRNA from 1 species
AGACCUGUAGCUCAAUUGGCGGAGCAAGAUGCUUACACCAUCAAGGUUGAAAGUUCGAGCCUUUCCAGGUCUA